rnacentral:rRNA from 1 species
CUACGUGCCAGCAGCCGCGGUAAUACGGAAGGUCCGGGCGUUAUCCGGAUUUAUUGGGUUUAAAGGGAGCGUAGGCCGUGGAUUAAGCGUGUUGUGAAAUGUAGACGCUCAACGUCUGAAUUGCAGCGCGAACUGGUUCACUUGAGUAUGCACAACGUAGGCGGAAUUCGUCGUGUAGCGGUGAAAUGCUUAGAUAUGACGAAGAACUCCGAUUGCGAAGGCAGCUGACGGGAGCGCAACUGACGCUGAAGCUCGAAGGUGCGGGUAUCGAACAGGAUUAGAUACCCUGGUAGUCCGCACAGUAAACGAUGGAUGCCCACUGUUGGUACCUGGUAUCAGCGGCUAAGCGAAAGCAUUAAGCAUCCCACCUGGGGAGUACGCCGGCAACGGUGAAACUCAAAGGAAUUGACGGGGGCCCGCACAAGCGGAGGAACAUGUGGUUUAAUUCGAUGAUACGCGAGGAACCUUACCCGGGCU